AAACGACUGUUAAUACCGCAUAAUGUCUACGGACCAAAGUGUGGGACCUUCGGGCCACAUGCUAUCGGAUGCGCCUACGAUGGGAUUAGCUACUUGGUGAGGUAAUGGCUCACCAAGGCGACCAUCUCUAGCUGGUUUGAGAGGAUGAUCAGCCACACUGGAACUGACACACGGUCCAGACUCCUACGGGAGGCAUCAGUGGGGAAUAUUGGACAAUGGGCGCAAGCCGUGAUCCAGCCAUGCCGCGUGUGUGAAGAAGGCCUUCGGGUUGUAAAGCACUUUCAGCGAGGAGGAAGGGGUUGUAGUUAAUAGCUGCAACCUUUGACGUUACUCGCAGAAGAAGCACCGGCUAACUCUGUGCCAGCAGCCGCGGUAAUACAGAGGGUGCAAGCGUUAAUCGGAAUUACUGGGCGUAAAGCGCACGCAGGCGGUUGGUUAAGUCAGAUGUGAAAGCCCCGGGCUCAACCUGGGAAUUGCAUUUGAAACUGGCCAACUA
rnacentral:rRNA from 1 species